UCCUCGUCAUCGUGGCUAAAAAAAGGCAAUGGAGAGACCAUCGUCAGCAAUAAGAGCUCCAAGUCAGCGAAACAAGCACAACAGGAAUCAUCUGAAGAGGAAUCUUCUUCGUUCGUAAAACGCGGCAAUGGAGAGUCCAUCGUCAGCAAUAAGAGUUCCAAGUCAGCGAAAAAAGCACAACAGGAAUCAUCCGAUGAGGAAUCUUCUUCGUUGGUAAAACGCGGCAAUGGAGAGUCCAUCGUCAGCAAUAAGAGCUCCAAGUCAGCGAAAAAAGCACAACAGGAAUCAUCCGAUGAGGAAUCUUCUUCGUUCGUAAAACGCGGCAAUGGAGAGUCCAUCGUCAGCAAUAAGAGUUCCAAGUCCGCGAAAAAAGCACAACAGGAAUCAU